UACAGAGGUGGCAAGCGUUGUUCGGAAUUACUGGGCGUAAAGGGCGCGUAGGCGGCCUUCUAAGUCAGACGUGAAAUCCCCCGGCUUAACCUGGAACUGCGUCUGAUACUGGGAGGCUUGAGUGCGGGAGAGGGAGUGCGGAAUUCCAGGUGUAGCGGUGAAAUGCGUAGAUAUCUGGAGGAACACCGGUGGCGAAGGCGGCAAUCCUGGACCGAUAUUGACGCUGAUGCGCGAAAGCGUGGGGAGCAA
rnacentral:rRNA from 1 species